GCCGCGUCUUCCUUGCUGGCGAGGCGGGCGCGACAAAAGGCAUAAUGUGUAGAAAGCAAAGCAGGAAACAGCUGGGAACAGUGGAGCAGUGACUCCAGCGACAAUAGAGGCAAAGUUAUCCCAACAGGAUGGAAGGAACCCAAAAGGACAUGGAGAUACAGGCAUAGGCAGAGGCAUGGACUUGGAAGGGGUUUCAAAGAGGCAGUAUGGUGAAACAGGAGGAGCCCUGCCUGGCUGGUCUCCCUUCAAUGUCACUCCGCAGAACUCCAAGGUAUGGCCACUUUGUUUAAGCCACUUGCAUCAAUGCCCUGUCCUCCAACAGUGAGUAUUAAACAUGUCAUAAUAAACCCCUCACUUUCCCAUCCCCUUUUACAAACCUAGGUAAAUCUGCACUCAUUGGAAUAUUUUUUCAUCUCUUUUCAGAGGAGGAAGUAUCUUCCUUUCUGCACUGUUGAUCACUUCCUGUAUCUUGUGGGAAAUGACUUCUUCAGUGAUUCUAUUGUUAUCCCUAUUUUCAAUUUUUUCUAUCGUAUACAUCUUUCACAUAGACAGAAAAGCAUAAACUCAAGUCUUUCUUCACCUGUGAAAGUCUUUGUCUCUUCUUUUAUUCUCUUUCUUCUACCUGUCAUUUUUUUUUUUCUCUCUCUCUCCUUUCUGGAGUCAAGCUGUCUUUGUUAAUGUCCUGCUCUCUGGUUUCUGCUCCUACCUCUCUGACAACACUCUUCUAUCACAGAUGCACUAAUAGACAAAUAUGAUGUUUCUUUUAAGACCUCUAGGCAGCAUAAGACUUGAAAAUUUCUUUGUUGAAAAUGUCUCUUUUUUGAUAACCAAUACUUCUGGGUUUUCCCUCCAAUCUUUACAUUUAUUCCAGAAUUUUUAUUUUAUUUCCUCACUCUCUUAUACUUUUAAAAUAUUGAUAUUUUUUUGGUUUCUGUCCCUGGCCAUCUUAUCUUUACUUGUUUGCUUGCUUCUUUUUUAAUAACAUAUGUUGUCUUUUUUUGACAUCCACUAUGAUUUUCUUAAACAUCAUUUUUGUCUUUAUGCUUCAUUGUGACAGAUUAACUUACUGAAUACCAUUCCAAACCACAAUUUAAGAGGCUGUAGCAAAGGGCAGAAAGCUAAAAACUGUUUCCCAGAUACCACUGAAACCCUUGGCAUUUGCUCUAGCUUCUGCGAAGAAAAUUCACCAUGUGAGAGUUGCAAGGUAGAUGUGAGAUAAAAAUUUACAUCUAUCUUCUGUCAAGCAAAGUUACUAUACAUUUGAUAGAGGCUUUGAUAUUUGGUCCUUAACUUCAUGGAUGUUCCAAGGCAGGGCAAAGAGCAUCUAUUUUGAAAUGACAAAUUUCAUUAGAAUUGGCAUAUUUCUGAAUCUGAUAGAUAUGCUAGAAGUUUAGUGAUUCUAAUUUGUUUCCUGAUCUUAGCAGAUGUAGAAACUUCAUUGGUGAGUCGAGUUUUUGAUGUCCUUCAGGGAAUUGUUUCUAGAAGUUUAGACUAUAGGCUCUCCAUGUCUGUACUAACUCUGCAUGUGCACCAUAAACCAUAAUAGAUCAUUUUUUGCUUAUUCUAUCUGGAGUGGAUUUUGUGUUCUACAACUAAGAACCUUGAUAAGUUAAACUCCUAAAUCCAUGUCUGUAGCUCAGUCUUGUGCUCUAAACUCUAUACAUCUUAAUUAUUACUGACUACUGGGUAACCUACAUACCUAUAAUACCUAAAACACCUAUAUACUUACAAUGGUGGCAAAUCCAAUAGGCUGAAAACUAAACAUAUUGUCUCCCCCCUACAAACUUAUGCAUAUAUCUAAAUUCCCAAAUGCUGUUAAUGACACCUUUGUUUACGUAGUAACUGAAGGUAUAAACCUAGGGGACAUCUCUCUCUAUCUGACUGCAUGCUUCCAUCUUGUCACUGUCUAGCUAAGUCUAUCUCAUUAAUUAUUCUCAUGUUCAUCCCCACCUUUCUCAUCUUCAUUGCUGCUUUAAUUCAAGCACUCACUCAUUUUGACCUUAUUAUUGCCAUGACUUUCCAAGUUCCCUUUGUCUGUAUUCUUGCUCUAUUCGCAUCUAGCCACCUCAAUUUGGACAGUUCCUCUAUUGUGUUAAAACUUUGUCAUUGUCUAUAAAAUAAAAUACAAAAUCCCUAGUAUGGGAUAUAAUACCCUCCUUGAACUGGUCCUUGGCAGUCCUCUGAGGUUAAUCUUUGACUGCACCUGGUAUCUCAAACUCUAUCUACUCUGAACUGCUCAUGCCCCCCUGAAAACACCAGGAUUUUCAUGUCUCUGUAUUUUUCUUCUUUUGCUUUCCUCUCUCCAUCACCCUGUCUAAAGUGGAGAUGGAAACUUUAAGGCUUUUGUCAUAUAUUACCAAAUGAAUUUUCUCA